GGAUCUAGAGGAAAAGCAUCAAAGAUCGAUGAGGGGCGGCGGAGAGCUCACCUUGGCCGAAAAUGGGGAAAAACUCGCCCGUUUUCGGCUAAGGGACCCUUUUAUAGUGGCUGGCCAGGCCACGUUCGGGGGCCGAAUGUGCCUCCGCAUGCAUGCCAUGUUCGGCGGCCAAACUUGAGGUUCAGCGGCCGAACCUGGACUUCCCUCACUUAUGC
rnacentral:lncRNA from 1 species